GACGAAGGGGGCUAGCGUUGUUCGGAAUUACUGGGCGUAAAGCGCGUGUAGGCGGUUGCCCAAGUCGGGUGUGAAAGCCUUGAGCUCAACUCAAGAAAUGCACUCGGUACUGGGUGACUAGAGGACCGGAGAGGACAGUGGAAUUCCCAGUGUAGUGGUGAAAUACGUAGAGAUUGGGAAGAACACCAGUGGCGAAGGCGGCUAUCUGGACGGUUUCUGACGCUAAGACGCGAAAGCGUGGGGAGCAAACAGG
rnacentral:rRNA from 1 species